rnacentral:rRNA from 1 species
CUUAGCGGCGGACGGGUGAGUAACGCGUGGGUAACCUGCCUUACACUGGGGGAUAACAGUUAGAAAUGACUGCUAAUACCGCAUAAGCGCACAGGGCUGCAUGGCCUGGUGUGAAAAACUCCGGUGGUGUAAGAUGGACCCGCGUCUGAUUAGGUAGUUGGUGGGGUAACGGCCCACCAAGCCGACGAUCAGUAGCCGACCUGAGAGGGUGACCGGCCACAUUGGGACUGAGACACGGCCCAA